AAUGUAAAAAACAUCUCGUAGCGGUUUCAGCAGCAGUCGUUGAAAAAUAGAUGAAUUAGAGACGUUAUUCAAAACUGGGGAAACCGGUAAAGCGAUACUUUUAUUGCUUUAUUCAGGCUUAAUCAUGUAGCCUCUACUGUAAACGACAUCUCUUAGCAGUUGGAGUGAAAGUUUUAGAGUAUUCAAUGCUAUAUAGAGACGUUAUUCAAAACAUGGGAAUGCGGUUAUCAUAAAGCGUGUAAUCUAAACAACAUCUCGUAGCGGUUUCAGCAGCAGUSGUUGAAUMAUAACUGAAUUAGAGACGUUAUUCCAAACUGGGGAAAGUGGUAACGUGAAACUUUUAUUGCUUUAUUCAUAGCUCAUAAUACAGCUUGUGCUCUGGACACUUCUUCGUAGCAGUAGGGUCGACAGUCGUGUGAAACAGAAGUGAAUUAGAGACGUUAUUCAAAAGUGGGGAAAGUGGUUAUCAUAAAGCGUGUAAUCUAAACAACAUCUCGUAGCGGUUUCAGCAGCAGUCGCUGAAUAAUAACUGAAUUAGAGACGUUAUUCCAAACUGGGGAAUGCGAUAGUACUCUACACACUGGAUAAUGACAGAAGACUAAUGAAAGACUUUGUUUGGUAUUGAUGUUUAUAUCAUUUAUAGCAUAAGCCUACCCAAACACUCACCCUAACCCUAACCCUUGCUGUAUUAUUGAUGAAAUAAAUUUCAUUGACAUUGACAUUCACAUGGUAUAUUGUGUUAUUGAUAUAACUGAUAUAGCAUAAGCUUACCCAGACACUCACCCUAAACCUAACCCUUGUUGUGUGGAUGAAAAAAAUAAUUGACAUUCACAUUCACAUUCACAUUCACAUUCACAUUCACAUGGUAUUGUAUUGUAUAUUCACAUUCAUCUAACAUUGCAUGAUGCAGAUCCAAACCCUUAUCCUUAUCCUAAGUGAUGAAAUAAAUAUCAUUCACAUGGUAUAUUGUGUUAUUGAGAUUGAUAUAGCAUAAGCCCACCCAUACACUAACCCUAACCCCUAACCCUUGCUGUAUUAUUGAUGAAAUAAAAAUCRUUGGCAUUCAUUCACAUGGUAUAUUGUGGUUAUUGACAUUGAACUGAUAUAGCAUAAAGCCUAGAACCACUAUUGUUGUAUAUACAUGUUGUAUUUUAUUUUAGAUUCACAUGGAUCUCAUAUGUCAUAUAGAUAGUACUCCAUACACUGGAUCAUGACUGAAUAGCAAUGGAAGACUUUGUUUAUUUUUAUUAUCAUUUUCAUUAUUAUGAAUAUUAUUAUUGUUAUAAAUAUUAUUGUUGUUGUUGUUGUUGUUGUUGUUCUUGUUAUACAAGAUGCCAAAUCCAAUCCCUCAUCCCUGUUGUAUGGAUGGAAUAAAUAUCAACUCACAUGGUAUUGUGUUUUAUCUUAUAUUCACAGUGAUCACAUAGUAUUUCAGCUUUCGAUACUAGAUGUAAAUAGGAAUUCAACAUUCAUUAAAGUAUAAAAUGGAAUGGGACUGMUAUUCAUAGCAUGUGGGACUACGCCAUGGCAGACCGGUUAGGGUGAGGGUGAAGGAUGGGGUCAGGUUUUAGUUUUUAUGAUAGAGCUGAAAGCCUUUUGAAAACAAUAAUCACUUAUGCAGGGAAUAAGUCUAUGCUAGGAUGAUGUAACGAAAUAAAUCAAAGUACUGUGUGGCAAAGUUCAUCAUCCACACACAAUAAAUACAAUCACAAAUUAGAAUUCCCAAGAUGAAAUAAAAUAAUGUUUGCUUUGAUUAUAUAUAUAUAUA